AUGCUAUCCAACUUGGAUCAGCGCAUGGCUCACUUCCAAGGAUCUGGCGGCGGCGGCUUCAAAUCUUCUGCCAACGUGGCCACUCGUGGGUGGGGCAGCAGCUCCCGAUCGCGUGGCUCAUCUCGCAACAAGGGCAGGUCUGGCGGCGGCAACCGUAGAGCCACACCACACCAAUUUGGUGGCCGUGGUCGCCGUGGACGCAGCACUGGUGGCGGUGGCAGAAACCACCCGGACGCUCCCCGGUGCCAGAUCUGCGGCAAGCCCGGGCACACAGCAAAGGACUGCUGGUAUAGGUAUGAGGAGGACGACUACGACUCGCAAGAUGAGGAGAAAGUCGCUGCGGCGGCCGAUGGCUCCUAUGGCAUCGACACGAAUUGGUACGCCGACAGCGGAGCCACCAACCACAUCACCAACGAGCUCGAGAAAGUUACCAUGAAGGAGAAAUACCGCGGCAAGGAUCAAAUCCACACUGCCAGCGGAGAAGGUAUGAGUAUACGUCACUUUGGUCACUCAAUAUUUCGUACCCCUAAUCGCAACAUUCAUCUUAGAUUUUUUUUGCAUGUUCCUAGUGCCAACAAAAGUCUUCUUUCUGUCCAUAGAAUUGCCCUUGACAAUCAUGUCUUUCUCGAAUUUCACCCUUACUUCUUUUUGAUCAAGGAUCAGGCAACGAGGACAAUUCUCUAUCGAGGUAGAUGCGUUGGCGGCCUCUAUCCGUUGAUUCCAGAGUUUCGAAGACAAAAUAAACACGCUUGUGGUGCCAUCAAGCUUUCAUCCACACGUUGGCAUGAUCAUUUAGGACAUGUUUCUUUUUCUUUAGUUGAAAGGUUGCUUAGGAAAAAUAAGCUCCCGUUUGUUGGUGAGCGUCAUAAUGAAACAAUUUUUGAUUCAUGUCAGAGAGCUAAAAGUCAUCAGUUGCCUUACCCAAUUUCUACCAGUAUUUCUACCAAACCAUUACAGUUGAUUUUUUCUGAUGUUUGGGGUCCUGCUCCCACUUCUGUUGGUAGACACAACUAUUAUGUCAGCUUUAUCGAUGACUAUUAA
rnacentral:rRNA from 1 species